rnacentral:rRNA from 1 species
UACGGGGGGAGCAAGCGUUGUUCGGAUUUACUGGGCGUAAAGGGCGCGUAGGCGGCCAGCGCAAGUCACUUGUGAAAUCUCCGGGCUUAACCCGGAGCGGUCAAGUGAUACUGUCGUGCUAGAGUGCGGAAGGGGCUACUGGAAUUCCUGGUGUAGCGGUGAAAUGCGCAGAUAUCAGGAAGAACACCCGUGGCGAAGGCGGCUCUCUGGGACGGUACUGACGCUGAGACGCGAAAGCGUGGGGGAGCGAACAGG